AGAAGUUCUUGAGAGAUGGAGAUAUGCCAGGUCCUGCUGCCUCUGCCACCUCUGGUAUCACCACUGAAGCUGUCAACGCUGCUGCGAUUAGUCCUGUCACAGCUUUCUCUUUUAGAUAAGCUUGCAGUUCAAGCUGGCCUCUGGAUUUUGGCUUUGUGGAGAAAACCACCUUCGAUGGCCUUACAGGAAGCAGCUGAAGGAAGAAUUGGGAGUCUGAUGGUUGUGUUGAUAUCCUGUGUGUAGCUAAAGGUCGUGAUAUAGCCAUUGAAACUGAGGGCAUUAUGUGCCUGCUUAUUCUGUAUUUUGUUUUGCUUUCUUGCUUAGAAGAAAAUUCAAAACUAUUGGGGUUUGGCAGAAAUAAUAAAGAUUUUCAGCUGAUGUGUCAGUUUCAUUCGAUCCUACGUGGCUAAUUCUUAAAUGGAUUAAUUGGAUAAGGUUAUCUGUAUACUUUAGCUUGAUUGGCAUGGAAAUGGAUUUCUCUUGAAG
rnacentral:misc_RNA from 1 species